UGAGGUCCUUUGUGGGUGACACAUGGCUUGCUUCCACCACGGCUGUCUGGGUUGGGGGCCUGGCCUGCAUGUCUUCAAAGCUGAUCCCAGCAUGCCCUUCCUCUUUUGGAGACCUCAAGGUCUGGCCAGAGUUUGAACCACACAUGGGGAAGAAGUGAAAUUCAAUUCAUGUUUUCUUAGCAUGACCCCACAGCCAGAAAUCACGAGAAAAAGAUAGAUGUGGAAAAAAUACUCCAGAUAUAUGAUAGAGAAAAAUUUGCAAUGUAUAGGACAGUAAAUAAAUGAAUAUACCUAGUUUAUUUUUACUCGUAAAACAAUAAGAAAAAGAAACCUAAACAGAAAAUUGGGCAAAAAACCCAAGUAGGCAUUUCACAAAAGAUGAAAUAUAAAUGGCCAAUAAACAUGUGAAAAGGUGUUUAUUUGGUAACUAAAGAAAUGCAAAUUAGAACGACCAUGAGACAUCAUUUAAAAAUAUUUUGGAUUAGCAGAAAAAAAAAAAAGGAACCAAACCAAACCAAAACAAAACAAAACAAAUAUUUUGGAUAGGCCAGAUGCAGUGGCUCACACCUGUAAUCCCAGCACUUUGGGAGGCCAAGACUGGUGGAUCAUCUGAGGUCAGGAGUUUGAGGCCAGCCUGGACAACAUGGUGAAACCCCGUCUCUACUAAAAAUGCAAAAAUUAGCCAGGCAUGGUAGCACGUUCCUGUAAUCUCAGCUACUCCGGAGGCUGAGGCAAGAGAAUUGCUUGAACCUGGGAGGCAGAGGCUGCAGUGAGCCGAGAUUGUGCCACUGCCCUCCAGCCUGUAUAUAUAAAUAUAUAUAUAUAUUUUUGGAUUAGCAAAGUUUGAAAGAUUGUUAAUACCCCAGUUUGGUGAGAGUGGAAAGAGGCACUUGUUUUCUUUUGGGAUAGAAGUUGGUACGGCUGGCACAGAGGCCCAGAUUGAUAAUCCAGCCUCUGUUAAAAGUAAAGGUGUCCCCCAAAUUUCAUGUCUUGGAAUUGAUUCUAAGAAGACAGACAAACAAAGAUGUAAGUGCGAGGAUUUUUAUUUUUUGCAAAUCGUUGAUAAUAGUUGCUUAAAAAAGAAAGGGCCGGCCGUGCGCGGUGGCUCACGCCUGUAAUCCCAGCACUUUGGGAGGCUGAGGCGGGUGGAUCACGAGUUCAGGAGAUCAAGACCAUCUUGGCUAACACAGUGAAACCCCGUGUCUAGUAAAAAUACAAAAAAAAAAAAAAAAAAAAAUUAGCUGGGCGUGGUGGCGGGCUCCUGUAGUCCCAGCUACUCAGGAGGCUGAGGCAGGAGAAUGGCAUGAACCUGGGAUGCGGAGCUUGCAGUGAGCUGAGAUCACGCCACUGCAAUCCAGCCUGGAUGACAGAGUGAGACUCUUGUCUCAAAAAAAAAAAAAAAAAAAAGUAAGGGCCAGCCAUGGUAUCUGACGCCUGUAGUCCCAGCACUUAGGGAGGCAGAGGCAGGAGGAUUGCUUAAACCCCAGAGUGAUCGCACCACUGCACUCUAGCCUGGGAGACAGAGCUGUCAUGUGGCAAUUAGCAAUAAUAGUAGAUACUUACAUUUAUUGACCUGAAAAGGUUAUUGUUAAAUGAACAGUGCAGGUUACAAAGCAGCAUGUAUAGGAUGUUUCCAUUUUGUAGAUCUGCUGUAUCUGUUUUUGUAUAUGUGCACAGAAAGCUUUGGAAUUAUAGAUAAUAACAUGUUAAUAAUGAUUAUGUCGUGGAUUUAAAAUUUCAGUUAUUCAUUAGGGGGACAUAAUGUAAUUAUCUUUAUUUCUCUAUAACUGAACUCAUUUUGGCUCAUGAGCCCUCAAAACAUAUUAUUUCCAUUUCGGAGUAACUCAUUCCCUUCUUAAUACUCAGCCUCUCUUGGCUGACUAACCACUGAAUCCUCUUUCCCCUUUCCCUGGGAAUGAUUUACAGAUUGCCCUGCGGUGAGGAGAGGCACUGGGGACUAAGCAUUCCCUGGCCAUCCAGGUCUCUCUGGAGUGUCUCUCGUCUUGCCUGAUCAUCAUCUUCUUGUGCCAUCACUGCUACACAUCUGAUUUCUGCUCAUCUCAAGAUCCACUAAAUCUGUCACAGAUUCAUCCCCAACCGUGGGCUCUUACGGGUGCACCAUCUUGUCCAGAGCCAAUUCUGACUGCCUCUCGGUCUGUGGGUUGAGGUUGCUCUUCUGCAACCACAUCACACUGGGAACACUCUGUGAGGCAGACCUCAGGCCAGCUGCCUAGCUCCAUCCCUCAGGCUAGCGUCCUCACCCUUUCUGAUGUCCUGUGAGAGGCAGGCUUCUCUUAGAAGCCCACACCCUGGAAAGUGAAGAAUAAGUCCCCUCCUCUUGGGCUAUAAUCCCUCCUGGGACUUCUCUUCCCCCAACUUCCUAAGGGCAGAGGUGCAGGAUGUUGGACACUUCUCAGGGACCCUAGGAGUCUCAAGUGUAGCCACUUCCUGCCAAUUCUGUCCUCCUACCAGCUAGUCAACUCUUUUUUAAAAUUAUUUAUUUAUUUGUUUUUGAAAUAGGAUCUCUCUGUGUCACCCAGGGUGGAGUGCAGUGGCAUCAUCACGGCUCACUGCAGCCUUGACCUGGAUUCAGGCGAUCCUCCCACCUCAGCCUCCUGAAUAGCUGGGACCACAGACACACACCACCAUGGCCAGCUAAUGUUUGUAUCUUUUUUUUUUUUCUUUUAGACAGAGUUUUGCUCUUGUUGCCCAGGCUGGAGUGCAGUGGCGCAAUCCUGGCUCACUGCAGCCUCUGCCUCCUGGGUUCAAGCAAUUCUCCUGUCUCAGCCUUCCAAGUAGCUGGGAUAACAGGCAUGCACUACCACAUCCAGCUAAUUUUGUAUUUUUUUUAGUAGAUAUGUGGUUUCACCAUGUUAGGCUGGUCUGGAACUCCUAACCUCAAGUGAUCCACCCACCUCAGCCUCCAAAAGUGCUAGGAUUACAGGUGUGAGCCACCAUGCCCAGCCAAAUUUUUAUAUUUUUUAUAGAGAUGGUGUUUUGCCACGUUGCCCAGUCUGGUCUUGAACUCCUGGGCUCAAGUGAUUCACUCACCUCAGCCUCCCAAAGUCUGCCAAUUCUUGACCUCCUUUUGAAUGAAGCCGCCUUUUUCAUUAUCAGGCACUCAUUCCCACUCAUAUUUUUGGGAUAAACUAUUAAUGCCUCCAGUUCUUCAAACAUUGGCUCUUCAUUGUCUCAAUCAAACUUUUUUGUUUUUAUUUUUUUAAAUUUAAAACACCCUUUUCUCUCAGAGAGUUGGAUUUUGUAAUGGAAACAAUGGCUUUAAGGA
rnacentral:lncRNA from 10 species